rnacentral:lncRNA from 1 species
AGAUAUUGAGCCACGACCAAGUGCCACAUUCUACCCAAAUGAUGAGAGCAAGGACAGGUUUUUUACUAAAGAUAUUGAGCCACGACCAAGUCUCACAUUCUACCCAAAUGAUGAUACCAAGAACAAGCUUUUUACUAAAGAUAUUGAGCCACGACCAAGUGCCACAUUCUACCCAAAUGAUGAGAGCAAGGACAAGUUUUUUAUUAAAGAUAUUGAGCCACGACCAAGUGCCACAUUCUACCCAAAUGAUGAUACCAAGAACAAGCUUUUUACUAAAGAUAUUGAGCCACGACCAAGUGCCACAUUCUACCCAAAUGAUGAGAGCAAGGACAGGUUUUUUACUAAAGAUAUUGAGCCACGACCAAGUGCCACAUUCUAUCCAAAUGAUGAUACUAAGAACAAGCUUUUUACUAAAGAUAUUGAGCCACGACCAAGUGCCACAUUCUACCCAAAUGAUGAUGCAAACAAAAAGUUUUUUACUAAAGAUAUUGAGCCGCGACCAAGUGUCACAUUCUACCCAAAUAAUGAUAGCAAGAACAAG